rnacentral:antisense_RNA from 1 species
CUUCACCGAGCCGAGCCACAGCGGGCGCUCCCGGUUCCUGCCGUAGGUCGCCAGCAGGGCCUGUGCCUC